GAAAGGAAAUAUUCGGUAAAAGAUGGGCCCGCAUCUGAUUAGCUAGUUGGUGAGAUAACAGCCCACCAAGGCGACGAUCAGUAGCCGACCUGAGAGGGUGACCGGCCACAUUGGGACUGAGACACGGCCCAAACUCCUACGGGAGGCAGCAGUGGGGAAUAUUGCACAAUGGGGGGAACCCUGAUGCAGCAACGCCGCGUGAAGGAAGACGGUUUUCGGAUUGUAAACUUCUAUCAAUAGGGAAGAAAGAAAUGACGGUACCUAAAUAAGAAGCCCCGGCUAACUACGUGCCAGCAGCCGCGGUAAUACGUAGGGGGCAAGCGUUAUCCGGAAUUACUGGGUGUAAAGGGAGAGUAGGCGGCAAGGUAAGCGAUAUGUGAAAGCCUUAGGCUUAACCUGAGGAUUGCAUAACGAACUAUCUAGCUAGAGUACAGGAGAGGAAAGCGGAAUUCCUAGUGUAGCGGUGAAAUGCGUAGAUAUUAGGAAGAACACCAGUGGCGAAGGCGGCUUUCUGGACUGAAACUGACGCUGAGGCUCGAAAGCGUGGGGAGCGAACAGGAUUAGAUACCCUGGUAGUCCACGCUGUAAACG
rnacentral:rRNA from 1 species